UUCAAAUUGAUCUCUACCAGCUCAGGGUAAUUAAAACCCCACAGCUCUUCCAUUUCCCAAAUAAACAGAGGCAUGCACAUUCACCAGCCCUCACAGCAGUGCCUAUGGCGUUGUUUAUGCCUAGCACCUAAGAUAAAAAUCAAAUAUAUGGUGAAAAGUAGUGAGCUCUGUAUGAAUAGAGGAAUAAUGUGGGCACACCCUAGCCUAAUGUUCUGUAAGUUUCUGCUUAUUUACUGAUGACAGUAAGUGUUGACUUGAUCCAGGGCUCCCAUAAACAACUUCAGAUGUUCUGAUGGUAAAUAGUACUUUACAUUCAUGGUGGCUGUGCAGUGGAAUGGUGGCUUAGACAUGCCCAGAGGAUCAUUCAGCAGCUUGCAAUCCAGGUAACCAUUUAUUAUGGCCAGAAUGACAGAAUUAACAAUUUGAAAAAUGCUCAGCCUUUCUGGAUUAAGAUGCUAUCAUGGCAGCGUUCUUUGUGCACAACCUCAGUUACCAUGGAAAUCAUGAUGUAGAAUGUUCUAAGUUCUUGGCAUCUGUGGAUUGCAAGUAUUUAUUUACCUUUUGUGAAGAAUAUAUUCCUGAAUGGAGGUCCAAACAGAACAGGUUUCCAACGAAGAAUGUGGAUGCUGGUUCCUUAAGUACAAUGUGGCAGGGCAGGGGAGAGGACCCUUUGCUCAUUUCAUAAACAGCUACUGAAUGAUUCUCUUCUGGCUUUCUGUUGGGAACUCUUGGCACCCAGAUGAAGUAUGUGAAGCCUUGCCCUCAGGAGUUGUAGCACGGCAUCAUUGUCAUUGUCAUUGUGCUGUUGUUUGCUUACUGACCAUCUCCCCACACUGGAGUAGAAGUUCCUUGAGAGCACGGACAAGGAGCAAGAACCAAAUAGGACAAGGUUACAGAUGAGGCAACUGACCUUCCCAGUGCAGCUGAGACUUAAAUCCAUGUCUUUUUGAUAUCAAAUCUGGUGAUAAUGGGCACUGACACAUUUCCACCUUGUUAGACAUACAAGUGGCCAUCUGAUUUGCUUCCGCCAGUGAAAUAUGGGCCGAAGUGAUGCAUGUCUCCUGGACAAAAGCUUUAGGAACUAGCAGUGUUUUUCCUCUCUUUUUCCUUUGCCACAGUAGCUAGCAAUGUUCUAGCUUGGGUCCCCGAGCACAGGGCCCCUGUUUGGACCAUUAUCCAGCCACAUCAUGGAGCCAGCUCAUCGGUGAUGGCGCUGAGGCAAGAAGCACCCUUCUCCAGGACCAAGGAUAGCGAUAACUUUGUUACACCUGUUGCCAUACUGUUUAUGUAUUCCCUCCAUCGAGAUGCAUGGAAACAUCUAUAGAAAUCUUGGGACAUCACCAUCUGUGAUGGUAGAAAUACCUUCCUCAGGUAUCGACUGCAACUUCACUUUGACUUGUGUCAACUGAAUUUGCCCUUCUGUCUGAGAUAUAACUGAAGGCAGCCUCCCUGUGGCCCUGGACCCAACUCACUUCGGGUCUGACUUAUGAACUUCUGACCGCCAAGGACCUUGACCAACGGCUUGGGUGGGAUUUAUGGUCCAGGACUGUUUGAGUUCAUACCACUGACUGAUGGAAGCACAUGGCCACAUUUUUAUUCCUGACACUGAAAACUUCGCUGAAACCACUCUUGGGUGAAUUGCGUUGAACUUUGCCUGGCAUUUUGUGCCGGUAUUGUUUGCUGAAUACUCUAGUGAGUGCUGAGCUUAUAUUUACUGCAUGAUUUAACUGUAAGUUUUACUGUUUGAGUUGACCUCCAAGAAUCAAAGUAAAUGACAAGGCCCAUUAUACCUUA